rnacentral:rRNA from 1 species
AAAGGAAUUGACGGGGCCGCACAAGCGGUGGAGUAUGUGGUUUAAUUCGAUGCAACGCGAAGAACCUUACCUGGUCUUGACAUCCCGGAGACCCUUAGGAAACUAGGGGGUGCUUCCAUCUGGAAGAAUCUGGAGACAGGUGCUGCAUGGCUGUCGUCAGCUCGUGUCGUGAGAUGUUGGGUUAAGUCCCGCAACGAGCGCAACCCUUGCCUUUAGUUGCCAGCAGUUCGGCUGGGCACUCUAAAGGGACUGCCGGUGUUAAACCGGAGGAAGGUGGGGAUGACGUCAAGUCCUCAUGGCCUUUAUGACCAGGGCUACACACGUACUACAAUGGCCGAUACAAAGGGCAGCGACACUGCGAGGUGAAGCCAAUCCCGUAAAGUCGGUCUCAGUCCGGAUUGGAGUCUGCAACUCGACUCCAUGAAGUUGGAAUCGCUAGUAAUCGUGGAUCAGCAUGCCACGGUGAAUACGUUCCCGGGCCUU